AUAUGGAUGUAUUUAUAAUCUCUCUUUGCCUUCACGAAUUUUAAAAAAUUAAUGUGAUAUUGUGCUGUAAAUAUUCUGCAACUUGCUUUGUAAUAUUCAAACGUUAUGUUUUAGUAAUUUAUCCGUGCUGAUAACACAGCUCAAGUGCGUUCAUUUUAACUGCUGUGUAGUAUUCCAGCCUCUGAAUACAUCACAAUUUGCCUCUGUGUUUCUCAAUUGAGAGAUGUUCAGGUUGUUGAUACUUUUUUUUCUGAUGACAAAUGAUUCAUCUUUAUACUUUUCUCCUUGGGCACAUAUAGGGGACAUUUGUAUAUCUUCAGUCUUUACCAUAUACUGACAAAUGGCUUUCUAAAGAGGCUAUCUUGUGACGUGGCAGGAAACUUCUAGAGUUGGGAGUCAGGUGACCCAGUUCUGGUCUAACUCUGGCACUGAUUCACAAUGUAAACUUAGGCUCCCCUUCCUUGGACUCAGUUUCUCCAUCUUUAGGAUGAAGGUCAGGACUAGCAGAUGUCCACAGUUCCUUCCUCCUGAGCUGGUUAAAACAAUGUUUUGCAGAAAGAUCUUCUCUUCUAGAAAUAAAAGAAAUCUCCGGAGGCAGGCUUGCUGUAAGCUCCAGAGGAGCGUUAAUGUGGAAGGCAGCUGACACUUUUUGAGCUCCUACCAAGGGUUGGGCACUUUCGUUUCUCAUUUACCUCACACAGGAGAUUAAACAGCUUGCCCGAGAUCACAGAGCGAGGAAGUGUCAGAACCGGGCCUCCAAUCCAGGACUGAGGGAUUCCAGAGCCUGACUCCUGUCUACCGUACAAGCUGCUCUUGCUUUGUCACAAGGCAAGUUCUUACUUGACACCCCCAUCUGGGCUGUUGAAAUGGCAUUCUCCUUGGGAGUCUCCAUGCGCAGGCCAUUGAUGCCAAGGGCCCCUACCCCAGGCAGAGACUGCAGCCCAGGCCCUGCCCCAGGAGUGCAGUGUGAGGAGGGGCUGAGAAAGAGCCCUUCUUUGGAAGGAAGAUAAGGAACAAGUGGGACUGAGUCAGGGACUGGGGCUAUCCCAAAAGCAUGCACUCUAAAGGCAUUUAUCCUCUGACCACAGCUAAUGAACCAAUGAGGAAUCAGCAUCAAUAAGAAGCAAAUUAAACACCAGCUCCAGCUAAUUAGUAAGCACAGCUGCCUGCUUUCCUGCAUUCAAUUUCAGACUCACAUUAUGAAUUGCCUCCCUGGAGAAACCGACCCCCUCCUCCCCAAAAAAGGCCUUGAUUCAAUAAACCAACUUUUAAUGGAGCAGCAUCUUUCAAUCGAAGGACGGCAACUUAUCUCUGGGUCCUCGCUCUGCGGUGACACCAAUUCUCCAAGCUGCCCAAUCUCACUCAAGGGAUGAGCCUCAGGCUGGUUGACAAGGGAGUGAAGGUCAUGUCUGAUGCCCAGUGAUGACCAUUCCUCAGCUUUCUGGGUCUGAAGAGGACGGCUGGUCCUGACGGAUGGCGAGGGCUUCCUCUUCUGCUGAACUGAGGAGGCAUGGAAGACAAGCUGCUCCAACCCCUCCUUUGUAGAUGAGGACUCUGAAGUCCAGAGAGGAAGAGUGACCUGCUAAAGGUCACCCAGCAAGUCCAGUGUGCUUCAUACUGAGCAGAAAACCUGCGCUUCUCUCCCUUUCUCAGCCAUGAUGAGAAGGACUCUUGGUAUCAUCUUGGAUCCCUCCCCAAAGAUUCUGGCUCUUUUUGCUGCUGAAAUCAGAAAGAUGAACAAUGAUUUUGGGGGUCACAAGCUGAAAAGGGCCAGGCUCAAAGGACUACCGCAAAGUCAUACCUGGCAGAGCUUCCCAGCCAGUGAUGGAGUGAUUAUUCCUGGUGAUAUCCAUCAAGCUGAGACUGAGAGCAUUUCAGUGAGGAGGUGCUUUAACGACUCUUCAAGGAUUUGGGGCCUAAUGAAGCAUACGUCAGAGGACGAUUUCAUCUUUCCUCAUAAAACCCUCACAACAAGGAGAUCAACUUCAGAAUCUAAAUUCAUCCUGACAUAAAAAUGUGAGCUCAAGACAGUCCUGGAUCACUGAUAAUUGUCUGGGGCUAAUUACUGUGGCCUCAGGGGUGUUUAGGAGAAGCCAAGAGAGGGUGGGUGUGGCAGAGGGCAUCCAGGGACACGCUCGGCUGUCCACUGCGAGGCUCCUGAAGGAGCUGACAGUAACAUUGGAGGAUAAGAUAAAAUACGGUAAGUAUGGAGCAGAAGAAGUUCUUGCUUCUUGUGAUGGGCCCAUCCCCGCAAGGCGGACCUUUCUUGCCAAAUCCCUCUCCAA
rnacentral:lncRNA from 1 species